AAAUUGAUACUUUUCCCAACAACAGCAGCACAGAUUAGAGACUAUUGGAGCAAAGUAAAGGCUGUUGAUAUUUGAUAAGCACAACAAUAACCCUCAGAUAUAAUCUGUAACAGGUACAAUAUGCUUGACCAAUAUUUUGUUAAGGAACCAGUGUUUUCAUUUUGGCUGAACCGUAACCCAGAGGAAGAGAAUGGGAGUGAACUUAUUUUUGGAGGUGUUGAUCCCAAUCACUACAAGGGAAAGCACACUUAUGUGCCUGUGUCAAGAAAAGGUUAUUGGGAGUUUGAUAUGGGAGAUAUACUUAUUGGAGACAAAAAAACUAGUAUGUGAAGAACAAAAAAAUUAGUAUAAUUCUGCUAGUUUUUCAUAUGACAUGAUCAUAAAUGGUUCAUGAUUUCAGUUCUAAUUUACUGACCUGAUUAUAUUGCUAUCCAGGAAUUUGUGCUGACAGUUGUUCAGCUAUUGUAAACUUAGGGACUUCUUUGUUGGCAGGUCCAACGGUAUGAAUAAAAUAAGUACUCUAACCAUGGUUGCCAGUUUGUUCUUCAAUUCCUUUUGUAGAAUUUAGGGAGGUUAAUGAAAGGCAGGUAACGAAUUCCUUGAUUUGGGAUAUACAAAAGCUUGGCCCCAACUUGCCAUUAGGAGCUGGAAUUCAUACACAAGACUAGCAGCACUGUUGGCUAUAGACGCAAUGUCUUCUCAACCACUCUCUCCCAUCUCAUUGCCACCAACUCUUACUACUUCCUCAUUCCCUUCAUUCCC